rnacentral:rRNA from 1 species
GCACAAUGGGCGCAAGCCUGAUGCAGCAACGCCGCGUGAGGGACGACGGCCUUCGGGUUGUAAACCUCUUCUGGCAGGGAAGAAGCGAAAGUGACGGUACCUGCAGAAAAAGCACCGGCUAACUACGUGCCAGCAGCCGCGGUGAUACGUAGGGUGCAAGCGUUGUCCGGAAUUAUUGGGCGUAAAGAGCUCGUAGGCGGUUUGUCGCGUCUGCUGUGAAAACCCGAGGCUCAACCUCGGGCCUGCAGUGGGUACGGGCAAUCUAGAGUGCGGUAGGGGAGAUUGGAAUUCCUGGUGUAGCGGUGGAAUGCGCAGAUAGCAGGAGGAACACCGAUGGCGCAGGCAGAUCUCUGGGCCGUAACUGACGCUGAGGAGCGAAAGCAUGGGGAGCGAACA